UGGAGUAGGAGAGACUUGCAUUGG
rnacentral:piRNA from 1 species